rnacentral:rRNA from 1 species
UAUCUCUGUAGAGUCUGCAUAUCAAUAAGCGGAGGAAAAGAAACUAACAAGGAUUCCCCUAGUAACGGCGAGUGAAGCGGGAAGAGCUCAAAUUUGAAAUCUUCAAGGUUCUGACCUUGACGAAUUGUAGUUUAAAGAAGUGUUUUCGGUUAGAGGAGUAGUAAAAGUUCUUUGGAAUAGGACAUCAUAGAGGGUGAGAAUCCCGUAUUUGACCUAUUCUUUCUAGCUUUGUGAUACACUUUCAAAGAGUCGGAUUGUUUGGGAAUGCAGUCCAAAAUGGGUGGUAAAUUUCAUCUAAAGCUAAAUAUUGGCGAGAGACCGAUAGCGAACAAGUACCGUGAGGGAAAGAUGAAAAGAACUUUGAAAAGAGAGUUAAACAGUACAUGAAAUUGUCAAAAGGGAAGCGUUUGACACCAGUGUUGUUUUCUCGAAAAUCAAUUAAAAAAGUGGAUUCAUGCUAGUUGUAUUGACCUUAAUCAGCUUGCAUUUACUCUUUUCAGGUUUCUUCUUAAUGCACUUUUCGUUUAACAAGUCAACAUCAAUUUCCUUUGUCUGUAAAAGGGUCAUGAGGAAGGUGGCUUUCAUUUCGGUAGAAGUGUUUACUAGCCUUCUGGCCUCUGCAAGUCGGAGAGAUUGAGGUCUGCAGCGUAGAUCCUUCGGGGCUAGAUACAUUCGUGCUAAGUUAUAGCCUUUCAUAGACAACUUGUUGACUAUGAUUGGUCUUGUAAUUUACUCGCGAGUGCUAUUUUACCUACGCUUAGGAUGUUGAUCUACAGAGCGAGAGU